rnacentral:rRNA from 1 species
UACGUAGGGGGCAAGCGUUAUCCGGAUUUACUGGGUGUAAAGGGAGCGUAGACGGCAAGACAAGCCUGGAGUGAAAGGCGGGGGCCCAACCCCCGGACUGCUCUGGGAACUGUCUGGCUGGAGUGCAGGAGGGGUAAGUGGAAUUCCUAGUGUAGCGGUGAAAUGCGUAGAUAUUAGGAGGAGCACCAGUGGCGAAGGCGGCUUACUGGACUGUAACUGACGUUGAGGCUCGAAAGCGUGGGGAGCAAACAGG